GACGAACGCUGGCGGCGUGCCUAAUACAUGCAAGUUGAGCGCUGAAGGUUGGUACUUGUUCCAACUGGAUGAGCAGCGAACGGGUGAGUAACGCGUGGGUAAUCUGCCUUUGAGCGGGGGACAACAUUUGGAAACUAAUGCUAAUACCGCAUAAAAACUUUAAACACAAGUUUUAAGUUUGAAAGAUGCAAUUGCAUCACUCAAAGAUGAUCCCGCGUUGUAUUAGCUAGUUGGUGAGGUAAAGGCUCACCAAGGCGAUGAUACAUAGCCGACCUGAGAGGGAGAACGGCCAAAUUGGGAAUGAGACAAGGCCCAAAAUCCUAAGGGAGGCAGCAGUAGGGAAUCUUCGGAAAUGGACGAAAGUCUGACCGAGCAAAGCCGCGUGAGUGAAGAAGGUUUUCGGAUCGUAAAACUCUGUUGGUAGAGAAGAAAGUUGGUGAGAGUGGAAAGCUCAUCAAGUGACGGUAACUACCCAGAAAGGGACGGCUAACUACGUG
rnacentral:rRNA from 1 species